AUGAACGCUAGCUACAGGCUUAACACAUGCAAGUCGAGGGGCAGCAUUUUAGUUUGCUUGCAAACUAAAGAUGGCGACCGGCGCACGGGUGAGUAACACGUAUCCAACCUGCCGAUAACUCGGGGAUAGCCUUUCGAAAGAAAGAUUAAUAUCCGAUGGUAUAUUAAAACCGCAUGGUUUUACUAUUAAAGAAUUUCGGUUAUCGAUGGGGAUGCGUUCCAUUAGUUUGUUGGCGGGGUAACGGCCCACCAAGACUACGAUGGAUAGGGGUUCUGAGAGGAAGGUCCCCCACAUUGGAACUGAGACACGGUCCAAACUCCUACGGGAGGCAGCAGUGAGGAAUAUUGGUCAAUGGACGAGAGUCUGAACCAGCCAAGUAGCGUGAAGGAUGACUGCCCUAUGGGUUGUAAACUUCUUUUAUAUGGGAAUAAAGUAUUCCACGUGUGGGAUUUUGUAUGUACCAUAUGAAUAAGGAUCGGCUAACUCCGUGCCAGCAGCCGCGGUAAUACGGAGGAUCCGAGCGUUAUCCGGAUUUAUUGGGUUUAAAGGGAGCGUAGGUGGAUUGUUAAGUCAGUUGUGAAAGUUUGCGGCUCAACCGUAAAAUUGCAGUUGAAACUGGCAGUCUUGAGUACAGUAGAGGUGGGCGGAAUUCGUGGUGUAGCGGUGAAAUGCUUAGAUAUCACGAAGAACUCCGAUUGCGAAGGCAGCUCACUAGACUGCAACUGACACUGAUGCUCGAAAGUGUGGGUAUCAAACAGGAUUAGAUACCCUGGUAGUCCACACAGUAAACGAUGAAUACUCGCUGUUUGCGAUAUACAGUGAGCGGCCAAGCGAAAGCAUUAAGUAUUCCACCUGGGGAGUACGCCGGCAACGGUGAAACUCAAAGGAAUUGACGGGGGCCCGCACAAGCGGAGGAACAUGUGGUUUAAUUCGAUGAUACGCGAGGAACCUUACCCGGGCUUAAAUUGCAUUUGAAUAAUCUGGAAACAGGUUAGCCGCAAGGCAAAUGUGAAGGUGCUGCAUGGUUGUCGUCAGCUCGUGCCGUGAGGUGUCGGCUUAAGUGCCAUAACGAGCGCAACCCUUAUCUUUAGUUACUAACAGGUCAUGCUGAGGACUCUAGAGAGACUGCCGUCGUAAGAUGUGAGGAAGGUGGGGAUGACGUCAAAUCAGCACGGCCCUUACGUCCGGGGCUACACACGUGUUACAAUGGGGGGUACAGAAGGCAGCUACCUGGUGACAGGAUGCUAAUCCCAAAAACCUCUCUCAGUUCGGAUCGAAGUCUGCAACCCGACUUCGUGAAGCUGAUUCGCUAGUAAUCGCGCAUCAGCCAUGGCGCGGUGAAUACGUUCCCGGGCCUUGUACACACCGCCCGUCACACCAUGAGAGUUGGCAACACCCGAAGCCGGCGGCCCAACCCGCAAGGGAGGGAGCUGUCUAAGGUGGGGCUGAUGAUUGGGGUG
rnacentral:rRNA from 1 species